rnacentral:rRNA from 1 species
UCAAGUGGUCGGGAUGAUUAUUGGGCCUAAAGCAUCCGUAGCUCGUUUUGUAAGUUUUCGGUUAAAUCCAUGCGCUCAACGUAUGGGCUGCCGGGAGUACUGCAUAACUAGGAAGUGGGAGAGGUAGACGGUACUCGGUAGGAAGGGGUAAAAUCCUUUGAUCUAUUGACGACCACCUGUGGCGAAGGCGGUCUACCAGAACACGUUCGACGGUGAGGGAUGAAAGCUGGGGGAGCAAACCGGAUUAGAUACCCGGGUAGUCCCAGCUGUAAACUAUGCAAACUCAGUGACGCAUUGGCUUGUGGCCAAUGCAGUGCUGCAGGGAAGCCGUUAAGUUUGCCGCCUGGGAAGUACGUACGCAAGUAUGAAACUUAAAGGAAUUGGCGGGGGAGCACCACAAGGGGUGAAGCCUGCGGUUCAAUUGGAGUCAACGCCAGAAAUCUUACCCGGAGAGACAGCAGAAUGAAGGUCAAGCUGAAGACUUUACCAGACAAGCUGAGAGGUGGUGCAUGGCCGUCGCCAGCUCGUGCCGUGAGAUGUCCUGUUAAGUCAGGUAACGAGCGAGAUCCCUGCCUCUAGUUGCCACCAUUACUCUCAGGAGUAGUGGGGCGAAUUAGCGGGACCGCCGCAGUUAAUGCGGAGGAAGGAAGGGGCCACGGCAGGUCAGUAUGCCCCGAAACUCUGGGGCCACACGCGGGCUGCAAUGGUAGUGACAAUUGGUUCCGAAUCCGAAAGGAGGAGGUAAUCCCUAAACGCUACCACAGUUAUGACUGAGGGCUGCAACUCGCCCUCACGAAUAUGGAAUCCCUAGUAACCGCGUGUCAUUAUCGCGCGGUGAAUACGUCCCUGCUCCUUGCACACACCGCCCGUCGUUUCAUUGAAGUUUGCUUUUAGCGAGGUGACGUCUGAUUG